rnacentral:rRNA from 1 species
AGAGUUUGAUCAUGGCUCAGAACGAACGCUGGCGGCGUGGAUAAGACAUGCAAGUCGAGCGAGAUUUUUUUCUGUAGCAAUACAGGGAAAAGUCUAGCGGCGAACGGGUGCGUAACACGUGGGCAACCUGCCAAGAAGUGGGGGAUAGCUCGCCGAAAGGCGAAUUAAUACCGCAUGUGAUUAGAGUGGACAUCCAUUCAAAAUUAAAGUCGGGGCAACCUGACGCUUCUUGUGGGGCCCGCGGCCUAUCAGCUAGUUGGUGAGGUAACGGCCCACCAAGGCUUUGACGGGUAGCUGGUCUGAGAGGACGACCAGCCACACUGGGACUGAGACACGGCCCAGACACCUACGGGUGGCAGCAGUCGAGAAUUUUUGACAAUGGGGGAAACCCUGAUCGAGCGACGCCGCGUGGAGGAUGAAGGUCUUCGGAUUGUAAACUCCUGUCAUUGGGGAACAAUGCACAGAUAUUAACUGUAUUUGUGUUGAUAGUACCCGAAGAGGAAGGGACGGCUAACUCUGUGCCAGCAGCCGCGGUAAUACAGAGGUCCCAAGCGUUGUUCGGAUUCAUUGGGCGUAAAGGGUGCGUAGGCGGCGCGGUAAGUCGGGUGUGAAAUCUCGGGGCUUAACUCCGAAACUGCAUUCGAUACUGCCGUGCUUGAGGACUGGAGAGGAGACUGGAAUUUACGGUGUAGCGGUGAAAUGCGUAGAUAUCGUAAGGAAGACCAGUGGCGAAGGCGGGUCUCUGGACAGUUCCUGACGCUGAGGCACGAAGGUCAGGGGAGCAAACGGGAUUAGAUACCCCCGUAGUCC